GUAGGGAAUAUUGGGCAAUGGAGGCAACUCUGACGCAGCCAUGCCGCGUGCAGGAAGAAGGCGCUACGCGUUGUAAACUGCUUUUAACCGGGAAGAAACCCCAGGACGUGUCCUGGGUUGACGGUACCGGAGGAAUAAGCACCGGCUAACUUCGUGCCAGCAGCCGCGGUAAUACGAAGGGUGCAAGCGUUAUCCGGAUUCAUUGGGUUUAAAGGGUGCGUAGGCGGAGCGUUAAGUCAGUGGUGAAAUCCUGCAGCUUAACUGUAGACUUGCCAUUGAUACUGGCGCUCUUGAGUGCGCUUGAAGUGGGCGGAAUGUGCCGUGUAGCGGUGAAAUGCUUAGAUAUGGCACAGAACACCAAUUGCGAAGGCAGCUCACUAAGGCGAUACUGACGCUGAGGCACGAAAGCGUGGGGAGCAAACAGGAUUAGAUACCCUUGUAGUCC
rnacentral:rRNA from 1 species